rnacentral:rRNA from 1 species
UACGUAGGGUGCAAGCGUUUGUCCGGAAUUAUUGGGCGUAAAGAGCUCGUAGGCGGUCUGUCACGUCGGCUGUGAAAUCCCGAGGCUCAACCUCGGGUCUGCAGUCGAUACGGGCAAACUAGAGUAUUGCAGGGGAGACUGGAAUUCCUGGUGUAGCGGUGAAAUGCGCAGAUAUCAGGAGGAACACCGGUGGCGAAGGCGGGUCUCUGGGCCGAUACUGACGCUGAGGAGCGAAAGCGUGGGGAGCGAACAGG